UACAGAGGGUGCGAGCGUUAAUCGGAAUUACUGGGCGUAAAGCGUGCGCAGGCGGUCGUGUAAGACAGGUGUGAAAUCCCCGGGCUUAACCUGGGAACUGCAUUUGUGACUGCAUAGCUGGAGUGCGGCAGAGGGGGGAUGGAAUUCCGCGUGUAGCAGUGAAAUGCGUAGAUAUGCGGAGGAACACCGAUGGCGAAAGGCAAUCCCCCUGGGCCUGCACUGACGCUCAUGCACGAAAGCGUGAGGAGCAAACAGG
rnacentral:rRNA from 1 species